rnacentral:RNase_P_RNA from 1 species
GCAUCAGUGCAUGAGGAAAGUCCGGGCUCCACAGGACAGGGUGCCGGGCAGUUCCCGGUGAAGGCAACUUUAAGGAAAGUGCAACAGAAAAGAAAACCGCCCCUUCGGGGUAAGGAUGAAAAGGCGAGGUAAGAGCUCACCGGCGCUGCGGAGACGCAGCGGCCUUGUAAACCCCAUCCGGAGCAACGUCGUGGGUAAGCAUUAACCGUGGUCCGCGGGCUUCAGGAGACGGCUUGAGAUCUGUGGAGACACAGAUCCUAGAUAGAUGAUUGUCAUAUACAGAACCCGGCUUACCGGGCUG